CAAACCUCGUGCUCUUCUCAGAUGAUUUCUCUUCCGUUUCGAUCUUGAGCGAAGGAAUUUGAUUGUUUGGAAGCGUGAAGAUACGAUAAUGUCGCUCCAGUCUUACGAUCCUUCCGUUAUUGGAAUGGGCGAUGGUGAUCGACAUAUCAUCUGAUUUCUUCCUUAAAAUCCCACUUUCUUCUCUUCAUUGGUCUCAGAUCCUUUUUAUUUUUGCUUUUUUUUUCCGAUUUAAAUUUGAAUGGGAGAAUUAAUGAUUCCAAAUCCAUUGUUUUUUUCUCUGCAAGGCAGAUGAUGAAUCAUCACAACACAUGCACUACCAUCUGAUCUCCCUACUCCACGCAGUAGCGAUAUGAUUUUGUGGAAAGAUAUUGUUUUUCGUGUGAUUUUAGAGGAAAUGAAGAAUUUGAUAUGCAGUCGGUGACGAAGAUUUAAUGAGAUGCUGAGUUUCCUGUGAUUAACUCACCAAAAUUAUCACCAUCUUUCGGCUGAGAUUACACCUAUCUGUUCCCAACUUUCUUUUUUUUUUGAACUUAGAAUUGAUUGUGUGAUGUUGAAUGCCAUUAGGUAUCUGAUGCUCAGUUCAAUGGUCGUGGCUGGGCAUCUCGUUAUGAUGGCAAAAAGGGAAGAGCAGGUCUUGCGACACUGAACAUUUAGAAGAAAGAUUUCUACAGUUUGAAAGUGAUGUACUACGCACAUUGCAUCAAAUCAGAGUGAUUGGAUAAACUGUGGCCGGGGCUUGGAUAUAAUUGUUGAACCAAAUGUUUAGAUCAUAUGAAUCAGGGAAGCUGCAGUGGACUGUAAAUUUUUGGGGUUUAUGUUAUGCAUAGGACACCGAACACACAAGUGGCAUCACCUUCAUUCAAAUGCAGAAGAACGAUCACAUUAUUACCUAUCCAGAUUCUUCUUUUGUUGGGAAUUCAUCGUUGACUCCGUUGGACUUUUGCGGAGGUUUGUCAACAUGUUGGAAGGUCAAUAUCAUAUCUGGUAGCAUUGCAAUCUUCAUUCUGAAGGCUAAUGUUUGUCAACAUGGGAAUAAUUAUUUCUGUUGACACCGGUCAAUGGAUCUCCACAAGUUAAUUGACAUUAAUUCCGAUGGUGCUGACAGUGUCCGUGCCUCGUGAGAAAACCAACUGCCACAGCCCUGUGGGUUGUGACAAGAGUGCACAGAGAGUUAUCUAAGACAUGUUUCAAUCCAUCAGUUGGAUC